rnacentral:rRNA from 1 species
UACGGGGGGGGCAAGCGUUGUUCGGAAUUACUGGGCGUAAAGGGCUCGUAGGCGGCCAACUAAGUCAGACGUGAAAUCCCUCGGCUUAACCGGGGAACUGCGUCUGAUACUGGUUGGCUUGAAUCCGGGAGAGGGAUGUGGAAUUCCAGGUGUAGCGGUGAAAUGCGUAGAUAUCUGGAGGAACACCGGUGGCGAAGGCGGCAUCCUGGGCCGAUACUGACGCUGAGGAGCGAAAGCGUGGGGAGCAAACAGG